rnacentral:rRNA from 1 species
GUAGUCUCGCACAGAUGCAUAUCAAUAAGCGGAGGAAAAGGUACCUACGCUUAGGAUGUUGAUGCAUAUCAAUAAGCGGAGGAAAAGAAACUAACAAGGAUUCCCUCAGUAACGGCGAGUGAAGCGGGAAGAGCUCAAAUUUGAAAUCUUGAAAGGUCACCUUUCACGAAUUGUAGUUUAAAGAAGUGUUUUCUGUUACGAUCGUAAUAUAAGUUCUUUGGAAUAGGACAUCACAGAGGGUGAGAAUCCCGUCUAUGAUUGCGAUUUGUAGCUUUGUGUUACACUUUCAAAGAGUCGGGUUGUUUGGGAAUGCAGCCCAAAACGGGAGGUAAAUUUCUUCUAAGGCUAAAUAUUGGCGAGAGACCGAUAGCGAACAAGUACCGUGAGGGAAAGAUGAAAAGAACUUUGAAAAGAGAGUUAAAUAGUACGUGAAAUUGUCAAAAGGGAAGCGUUUAACACCAGUGUUGUUUUCUGAAAAUCAACCUCUGUUAGCUUUAUGCAUGUUUGUUUAGACCUAAUCAGCUAUCUUGCAUGUUCUAUUGUUUGCAGUGGUGCACUUUUCAGUUUACAGGUCAACAUCAGUUUUUUUUACCGUAAAAAAGUUAAAGAAAAGGUAGCUCAUGGCUCCGGUCGUGAGUGUUAUAGUCUUUUUCCUAUGCGGUAGGAGAGACUGAGGUCUGCAGUGUAGGCUAUUUGGCUAGAUACUCAGGUGCUAUGUGAUACCAUUUCAUAAACAACUUGUUGAUUAUGUUUUGUCUAUUGCAUACUCGCUUGUACUAUCAUACCUACGCUUAGGAUGUUGAGUCGUAGAGCACGCAG